rnacentral:tRNA from 1 species
GGGCGGUUAGCUCAGUUGGUAGAGCGUCGGCCUUACAAGCCGAAUGCCAGGUGUUCAAGUCACCUACUGCCCACCA